UAAUACGGGGGGAGCAAGCGUUGUUCGGAUUUACUGGGCGUAAAGGGCGCGUAGGCGGUCAGCACAAGUCAGUUGUGAAAUCUCCGGGCUUAACUCGGAAAGGUCAACUGAUACUGUGCGACUAGAGUGCAGAAGGGGCAACUGGAAUUCUCGGUGUAGCGGUGAAAUGCGUAGAUAUCGAGAGGAACACCUGCGGCGAAGGCGGGUUGCUGGGCUGACACUGACGCUGAGGCGCGAAAGCCAGGGGAGCGAACGGGAUUAGAUACCCCGGUAGUCCUGGCCUUAAACGAUGGAUGCUUGGUGUCUGGAGUUAUAUAGUCUCCGGGUGCCGCAGCUAACGCGUUAAGCAUCCCGCCUGGGGAGUACGGUCGCAAGACUG
rnacentral:rRNA from 1 species